UUUAUCGGAGAGUUUGAUCCUGGCUCAGGACGAACGCUGGCGGCGUGCCUAAUACAUGCAAGUCGAGCGGACAGAUGGGAGCUUGCUCCCWKMUGUUAGCGGCGGACGGGUGAGUAACA
rnacentral:rRNA from 1 species